AUAAUGAUACACUCGCAUGGUGCGGUUCUGCUCAUAGGAAUGAGAAUGGUGAGAGUCCAGUGG
rfam:Anaerostipes hadrus draft genome.